rnacentral:rRNA from 1 species
CUACGGGACGCAGCAGUCGGGGAUAUUGCACAGUGGAGGAAACUCUGAUGCAGCGACGCCGCGUGAACGAAGAAGGCCUUCGGGUCGUAAAGUUCUGAUGUGAGAGAAGAAGAUAGUGACGGUAUCUCACCAGCAAGCACCGGCUAACUCCGUGCCAGCAGCCGCGGUAAUACGGGGGGGGCAAGCGUUGUCCGGAAUCAUUGGGCGUAAAGAGCGCGUAGGCGGGACAGUAUGUCAGAAGUGAAAACCAUGGGCUUAACUCAUGGCCUGCUUUUGAAACUGCUGUUCUUGAGUACGGUAGAGGGAAGUGGAAUUCCUGGUGUAGCGGUGAAAUGCGUAGAUAUCAGGAAGAACACCGGUAGCGAAGGCGGCUUCCUGGGCCGUAACUGACGCUGAGGCGCGAAAGCGUGGGGAGCAAACAGGAUUAGAUACCCUAGUAGUC